rnacentral:rRNA from 1 species
GACGAACGCUGGCGGCGUGCUUAACACAUGCAAGUCGAACGAGUGGCGGACGGGUGAGUAGUUUCUGGGCAACUGCCCGAUGGAGGGGGAUCACUACUGGAAACGUUAGAAACUACCGCAUACCAUCGGUUCGGCCCAGAUGGGAUUAGCUAGUCGGGGGGGUAACGGCUCCCCAAGGCGACGAUGCCUAGCGGGUCUGAGAGGAUGACCAGCCACACUGGGACUGAGACACGGACCAGACUCCUACGGGAGGCAGCAGUGGGGAAUAUUGGACAAUGGGCGAAAGUCUGAGGCAGCCAUGCCGCGUGUAUGAAGAAGGCUUUCGGGUUGUAAAGUUCUUUCAGCGGGGAGGCGUUACUGAAAGAAGAAGCAACGGCUAACUCCGUGCCAGCAGCCGCGGUAAUUC